CCAGCAGUGGUGUCUCAACUAUCAUCUAGACUGCAAACGUCCUGAGAGGAGCCUCAUGUCUUCUUACAACAUCACAUGAAAGGAGCAGGCUAACUUGUUAGCUUCCAGAUAGUGAAGAUCAGAGUGUUGAAAGACAACCUGUGAUGAAUAUACAGAUGGAUAGAAAACUUGGAGCAACGGAAGUGUUGGAAGAAAAAUGGGGCUAAUGUAGGCUAAAGAAAUUAAAUUUGCC
rnacentral:lncRNA from 1 species